rnacentral:rRNA from 1 species
UACGGAGGGUGCAAGCGUUAUCCGGAUUCACUGGGUUUAAAGGGUGCGUAGGUGGAAUGGUAAGUCAGUGGUGAAAUCUCCAAGCUUAACUUGGAAACUGCCGUUGAUACUAUCAUUCUUGAAUAUCGUGGAGGUGAGCGGAAUAUGUCAUGUAGCGGUGAAAUGCUUAGAUAUGACAUAGAACACCGAUUGCGAAGGCAGCUCACUACGCGGUCAUUGACACUGAGGCACGAAAGCGUGGGGAUCAAACAGG